GCUCACAUAGUAUAGUGGUGAGUACAGCUGAUUGUGGCUCAGCAAACCCAAGUUCGAUUCUUGGUGUGGGCA
rnacentral:tRNA from 1 species